AAAAGAUAAAAGCAUGCAUGUAUAAGUAUAAACGACUUGAUCGUGAAACCGCGAACGGCUCAUUAUAACAGCUAUAAUUUACUUGAUCUUGACAAUUUACUUGGAUAACUGUGGUAAUUCUAGAGCUAAUACAUGCACCAAAGCUCCGACCGUAAGGGAAGAGCGCAUUUAUUAGAAGAAAACCAAACGGCUUCGGCCGUUCAAUGUUGACUCAGAAUAACUAAGCUGAUCGCAUGGUCUUGUACCGGCGACGUGUCUUUCAAGUAUCUGCCUUAUCAACUUUCGAUGGUAGUGUAUCUGACUACCAUGGUGGUGACGGGUAACGGAGGAUAAGGGUUCGACUCCGGAGAAGGGGCCUGAGAAAUGGCCACUACGUCUAAGGAUGGCAGCAGGCGCGCAAAUUACCCACUCUCAGAACGAGGAGGUAGUGACGAGAAAUAACAAGACCGUUCUCUUUAGAGGCCGGUCAUUGGAAUGGGUACAAUUUAAACCCUUUAACGAGUAUCUAUGAGAGGGCAAGUCUGGUGCCAGCAGCCGCGGUAAUUCCAGCUCUCAAAAUGCAUAGAAUUAUUGCUGCGGUUAAAAAGCUCGUAGUUGGAUCUGUGCUGGCGAGCCGGUCAAUCUUCGGAUUCGUACUGGUUCCGCUGGCUUUCCUGUUGUAUUUGGCCCCGUGUCCUUCAUUGGGUGCAGGUGUCCAGUGCAACAAGUUUACUUUGAACAAAUCAGAGUGCUUCAAACAGGCGUUUCGCUUGAAUGUUCGUGCAUGGAAUAAUAGAAGAGGAUUUCGGUUCUAUUUUAUUGGUUUUAUAGACUGAGAUAAUGGUUAACAGAGACUAACGGGGGCAUUAGUAUUGUUACGUGAGAGGUGAAAUUCUUGGACCGUAGCAAGACUAACUACAGCGAAAGCAUGNCCCCAAGAAUGG
rnacentral:rRNA from 1 species